UGACCUUUCACCCCUUUUUUCAUUAACUGUUUUUCCCAGCGGUUAAUCAAGUACAGUAUAACUAUGUGAACAACUGAACACUGCAGAAGACCAGCAGAUGUUUGCAAAAACGUGACCAGGAAACCUCUCAUCGUCAACCUUUCCUGCUGCAUUCCACCCAGAUUGAAGAGGGAGAUUGAGAAAGAUGAAGAGGAGGGAAAAGAGAGAGAGAGAUAAAGGUCUAUUUAUGUGACACCAGAACAAGAGGGGAAAGAAUUGGCGUUUACACAUGGAGCCAGAGAUUGUCAAAUAUUUUAUCUUAAAAUUACUCAACCAAAAUACAUUUUUAUGGUGUGAAACAAAUUCAUAACAUACAUAUAAAACAUGACUGUUCUUCCACUAAUUACUAAAGUGUGACUAUGUGCAAUAAUCAUGACUUGAAAACAUA